rnacentral:lncRNA from 1 species
AAAAUCUGGGACUUGGAAUUCAAUCAAACGCGGACGCUGGGAUGUUUGGUAGAUUAAGCCGGAAGAUAAGAUGGAGGAGUUGGAUUCGGAAGUUGGGAGGAAAGGCUGAUCUGUGGGAUAUUAGAAGGAUAGAUUCAGCUGGGAAUCUUGGUUUGGGAUGUCCGGGAUGCAUGGGAUUCGGAGAGGUGAACUCAUCCGUGGAUGGAGUCAAUUCUAAGCGGGAGAGGGAGAAACGAGGAGUGCUCUGUUAGCUGGACACAGGGGAUGAGGAUGAAGUUUCGGAUGGAAAAGGAUGCGGACGCGAGAUGAACUCGGGACGUUGGAAAUUUAAAGGGUGAAAACUCGGAUGAAAACUGGACUCUAUUUUGAAGCUUAAAACAGGGGAGGAAAGGGAUGACUUGGAAGCUUGUUCUCUAAGCACUUAAAGGGUGACGUGGACAUGGGUUCAGCUGCAAACGUGACCUGCACACAUUAGUUCAAACAUCAUCCCAAUUAGUUCGACUCGACCUGCACACAUUAAUUUUGACCAGUAAAUAAAUAAGUAAAACACUAAUUACCUUUAAUUUAUUAAAAUGAAAUGAUGAAGGUAACACAAUUUUUUUUAGUUAAAUAUUCAAAAUAUGUGAAUUAAAAUAAUGAUAAGUGCUAUGAAUAAGAUAUUAAUUUAUGCAUUAUUUAGCACUUAUCA